GGGCCGUUAGCUCAAUUUGGCAGAGCAACUGACUCUUAAUCAGUGGGUUGCAGGUUCAAGUCCUGCACGGCCUACCA
rnacentral:tRNA from 3 species